UACGGGGGGGGCAAGCGUUGUUCGGAAUUACUGGGCGUAAAGGGUUCGUAGGUGGCCAACUAAGUCGGACGUGAAAUCCCUCAGCUUAACUGGGGAACUGCGUCUGAUACUGGUUGGCUUGAGUGCAGGAGAGGAACGCGGAAUUCCAGGUGUAGCGGUGAAAUGCGUAGAUAUCUGGAGGAACACCGGUGGCGAAGGCGGCAUCCUGGACCGGCAUUGACGCUGAGGCGCGAAAGCCAGGGGAGCAAACGGG
rnacentral:rRNA from 1 species